rnacentral:lncRNA from 1 species
CGCCACCGCGAACGGCAGGAGAAGUCGUGGGUUCCCUGGAAUUCCCCGUGGCCGUCAGAUCCAGAAGACUUUCAACAAUAUUAAGAUCACCAUAUUGUGUGGAUUCGUCACCAUCCUUGUUCUUCGUGGUACAAUCGGUAUUGGCAACCUUGGUAGCUCCGAGGCUGACGCUGUGAACCAGAAUAUUAUUGAAGAAACCAACCGGAUCCUUGCCGAGAUUCGAUCUGACAGCGACCCCAACGACCCGGAUGAUCCUGCUGAGACCCAAAUCAACCCCAAUGUCACUUACACGCUCGGACCCAAGAUUGUUAACUGGAAUCAGGAACGAAAGGUUUGGCUCGAUCAAAACCCAGAAUUUCCGAAUUAUGUCAUAAAAAAGAGCUAGGAUCUUGCUUGUUACUGGUUCUCCCCCAAAACCCUGUGACAACCCAAUUGGGGAUCAUUAUUUGUUGAAGGCAAUCAAGAAUAAAAUUGACUAUUGCAGGCUUCAUGGGAUUGAGAUUAUAUACAAUAUAGCUCAUUUAGAUAAGGAACUUGCUGGGUAUUGGGCCAAGUUGCCGUUGAUCCGGCGAUUGAUGUUGUCCCACCCUGAGGUUGAGUGGAUUUGGUGGAUGGAUAGUGAUGCGUUGUUUACUGAUAUGGUAUUUGAGAUUCCCCUGGAAAAAUAUGAUAACUAUAAUUUGGUUGUUCAUGGUUACCCUGAUUUGAUGUUCAAUCAAAAGUCCUGGAUUGCACUCAACACAGGAAGCUUUUUGUUUAGGAAUUGUCAGUGGUCUUUGGAUUUACUGGAUGCUUGGGCUCCAAUGGGACCAAAGGGUCCUAUUCGAGAAGAGGCCGGGAAGAUUUUGACUGCAAACUUGAAGGGAAGGCCAGCAUUUGAAGCUGAUGAUCAGUCAGCUUUGAUAUAUUUAUUGCUUUCUCAGAAAGAUCAAUGGAUGGAUAAGGUGUUUCUUGAGAAUUCAUACUAUUUGCAUGGUUACUGGGCUGGCUUAGUCGAUAGGUAUGAGGAAAUGGUUGAGAAAUAUCACCCAGGGUUAGGCGACGAAAGGUGGCCAUUCGUGACGCAUUUUGUCGGUUGCAAACCUUGUGGUAGCUAUGGAGACUAUCCAGUAGAAAGGUGUUUGAGUAGCAUGGAGAGGGCUUUCAAUUUUGCUGACAACCAAGUUCUCAAACUGUAUGGAUUUCGCCAUAGGGGCCUUUUAAGCCCCAAAAUCAAGCGAAUCAGGAAUGAGACAGCCACUCCAUUGGAGUCAGUUGAUCAAAACGAUAUUCGGCGGCACGUUCUGCAUCAAACCAAUGGACCUCCUACCAAAUGAGCAAACCACAUCCUUGUGUGAUCUGUCUGUAGGUGUUGUUGUUAUACGUGAAUUCAUAGCAGAUAAAGGCUGGUAAUAUUUCAUACCCUUGUCCGUCUUGCUUCCUUUUCUUGUCAUUCUGAUACUGCUUUUGAGAAAGAUAGAGUGGAAUUCUUUCAUUAACUUUAAAAGAGAUAGUGUUUCAGUAAUUGAGUAUAGGUACUUUGUUUACUGCUCUUUUUGUUUUGAUCUUCUUUUGAGGAGUUGCUAUGUAUUUAGACUUUGCUCAUAUUGAUAUCAAUGUUGUGCAUUCAAAUUUAGACCAUAACUUUGAUGAACUGCCAAAAGUUGGUCUCCAUGUUUCAGUUUCGAAGGAAAUAAGAGGGAGAACUCUUUGAUCACAUGGUUUGGAUAAUUCAAGUGCUAAUGAAAACAUUUCUGAUCUUAGGUAUCUGCAAUGUCUUGUUAUAUUUUGUGUGUGUUUUGCUGCCCUUUUUUUAUACUCUUUGCAAAAAAGAAAAAGUUGGUCUGCAUAUACUCUAGGAGUAUCCAAGCACAACCAGCAUAGAACAACCCCUCGAUUAUUCUUAUCACAGUGGUUGCUUGGAAACUCCUUGGAUUUUGAUAUUCUAAGCAAGCAGCCACUGUGGCAUCUGAACACAGUUUGUUUUUUUUACUUUCCAUCCAGCAGUUUGGUUGUUUGAAAGUUUUCAGGAUUAUAUGCCAUUGAGGAUCUCACCUUGGAAAGAUGAGGAGACCUCAUGUCUUUGUUAAUCCCCGUGUUUAUCUAAUAUGAUAUGAUAUCAGAGUCCUAAAGUCCAAAAGAAUAUUUGAUCCAACUCAAAAAGGUAUAUCUUGAGAAGAUAUGUUGAGGAUCCCACUCCCAAAAGAUAGAAUUCUUAAUUUUUAUUUUUCAAGGCUAAAAAUACUAACGUUUCUUUUAAAAGUUCAAGAAUAUUUGAAACAAAUAUUAAAGAUUUGUAUUCAUAUACGGACAACAAUAGUAUUUUCAAAACAUUUUGAAUAUUUGGGACAUUUUGUUUAAUUUAGCCAUAAUUUUCUUAAUAAUAAAGUGUGUUUUCUUAACAAUAGAGUGUGUGUGACCUGUGAAGUAAGAAAAUGAAAACUCACAACAUUUAUCUAUCUUUUAACUCACCUUCUAGUGAUUUAAUCUUUGCUAAAAUCCUUCCAAACUUUUCAUAUUAUAUUUCCAUUCCUUGCAACGAGACGUUUGAUUAGUGAUAAAAGUAAUGAGUUGAGUUGAGUUAAUAAUAAUUAUGAGACAUUUGAUUAGUGAUAAAAGUAAUGAGUUGAGUUGAGUUAAUAAUAAUUAUAAGAAGUUAACGUAAAUAGCGAGAUAGUAAACCUCUUUAAUUAUUAAUAAAUCAAACAAGAUGUUGAUUUUUUCUUUACCCACCCAACACAAUUCUCCCAAUUGUCAAACACCCUAUAAAAGAUAUUAUAUGUAUUUUCAUAUUUGAAAAAAAGAUAUAUGUACACAUUACACAUUAUAAAAUAUUACAUAUUUUUAAUAAAAAAUAAUUAUAAACGGUUGAAAAUAGUUACAAAAUAUAUAAUAUUUCAAAAUUUAUCAAUGAUAAACAUUAUUAACACGAGCCUAUCAAUUUUGUUUGUAUCUAUUAUUAAUAGAGUUCUAAAAUAUUUCUACACAUAUAUAUAUAUUGCUUCAUUCUUGCCAUAUUUAAAAAUAUCAAUUUUACAUUUUACAUUUUUUCUCUUCAAAAUAUUAAAACCAUACCAUCUUAAAAAUUUUAUUUUUAAAAUACAAUUUUGUGUGAAGAAAAAAAAGAGAAGGAAAUUGGAGGAAGUUAAGUAUAGAUCUCACUUUUAUUUCUUUAUUUCUUAAAAAUAUUUUAUUAAAGUAAUAUCAACUUUAAAAAAAAAUAAACAAAAAAGAUAACAAGAAAAUAACAGUUUUUGAAAAUUUUAAAAUUAAAAAAAUAGAGUAAUGUCUUUAUUCUCUUUAUCUUUUUAAUCAACAUGUUAAAAAGAAAAGAAAAAUUAAUUUUAUCAAAUUAAAUCCGAAUUUAAACAAUAGCUGUAAGUACUUUUGCCUACAAAAUACAAAUUAAUGAAUAACACUAAAAUUUCCUUUUCAUUCCUUUACUUUAAAUCUCAAUUUCACUUUUCUUUUUCUUUUUCUUUCGAUUGUUCAUUGUUUUCUACUUUAAUAACAAAAUAAAUCAAAAUAUUUAUAAAUAUAGUAAAAUUUAUAAAUUUAUAAAUAUUUAACAGCAUCAUUUAAAAUAUUUUUUCAAAAAUUAAUUCUCAUACUAAAUUUAGAAUGAUUUGUUUUUAUCCAACAUUUCAAAAUAUAAUAAUAAUAAUAACAUAAAUAUAUUUUUAAAGUGUUUAUAUUUAGUUGGUAUUGUUAUUGUAAUGAUAAUAGAUAGGUAUAUGAAUAAUAAUUGAAGUAUGUAAUAACAUUUAGAAAUUUUUUGUAUAAUUAUUAUAUUUGCAAAUGUUGGAAAUAUUUAUUUCUGUUUAUGGAAAUUGGCAUUAAAAAAAUUCCCUAAAUUAAAAGAAGAAAUCUUAAUAAUUAUUAGAAGAGAAUGGAUCCAAUCAGAAAUGAGAGAAAUUCAUUUUAGUUUUAUUAUUGCAAAGCAUAAAAAACAUCGAAUCAUUCAAAGGAAUGGCGUUUGAUCGAUCCAUAGACGGUCGGUGCUGUUUGCUGAGAUAACUCUCUUCUUCCUUCCUUAGCUGUUCCUCAACCAUUACCCUCAAUCAAUUGACCUUUCGUUACCUAUAACUAUAACUCUAUAUCCAUUACCAUUACUCCUCUAUUCUUCUCGCUCCACGAUUCUUUGUUUUUCUGUUUUUUUUUUUUUUUUUUCCAUUUCUUUCUUCAUCUCUUCGAUUCCCGAUCUUGCUGACAUAAUUGAAUUGGUGGGGGUGGUGGAGAGAGCUGUUGGAUAGAGGGAAACCCCAUUUCCCUCAUGACCCAUUAGCUCCAAAUCCUGCAUUAUCUCUGCUCAGAAGAGAGUUUUGUAGAAAGAGAAGGGAGAAGAAACAUGGGACUAGAUAAUAUCUCUGCUCAGAAGAGAGCUGGUGGUGGAGGGAAUAGUUUACCCACCACUGCUGCCACCGCCAACGCCAGGAGAAGUCGUGGGUUCCCUGGAAUUCCCCGUGGCCGUCAGAUCCAGAAAACUUUCAACAAUAUUAAGAUCACCAUAUUGUGUGGAUUCGUUACCAUCCUUGUUCUUCGUGGUACAAUCGGUAUUGGCAACCUUGGUAGCUCCGAGGCUGACGCUGUGAACCAGAAUAUCAUCGAAGAAACCAACCGGAUCCUCGCUGAGAUUCGGUCUGACGGCGACCCUAACGACCCGGAUGAUCCUGCCGAGACCCAAAUCAACCCUAAUGUCACUUACACGCUCGG